UUUAUAACUAACUCUGACUUGUGUGUGUGGUUUGCUCCCAUGAUUAGGUAAAUAGAGGAAAUUUCCACGACAUUUGGCGACGAGGAGGGGAUGUGAAUCUUCACUCGGUGACCGUUCCUACGAUCUAGGUAAAUAAAUCGUGCACGAGGGAUCCCCUAAAUUUGUGAUCUCAGGGAGACCACACUUCGGGAAACGGAGCAGAUGGACCAACCUUUGAUCUAAGAGGAAGCGAGCCGAGUGGAUACCACAUCUCGAACUGAGUUUUUUUUAAAGAAAAAGGUGAGCGAACCACACACAGAUUUGAAGUCAAGUUUUUUUAAUUAUGCCUGUUACGUAUACUCUGAGCGUGAAUUCCUUUGUAAGGAAGGCACCUUUGCGGCGUAAGCAGGGCCGAGUCAGAGGAGAGUAAUUUGGGGGUUUUGUGGACUCAAAAGAUACUCUGCACUGUCCGGUUGCCAGUGACCAAGAGCCCUCCUGACACUGAAUUGAUCACAGUGGGGAUUUGGUGAGGUCUGUCGGGGUGAGGGGCCAGGGGGUCUGUGUGUUCUAGGUGAAACACGGCACUUGGUGAAGCCCUAUUGGAAGAAGGACCUCAUUCUGUGUGUCUGUGUGAUUUGUCUAAGUGACCCUCAGAUGUGGUGAAUUCCAAUUAUUUUAAAUGUGCUAGCAAAGGUAUGGGUAGGGUUACUCUGUGUGAGUCGGACCGUUCUGUGUGAGCGGGGUAGGUUUACUCUGUGUGAGUCGGACCGUUCUGUGUGAGCGGGGUAGGGUUACUCUGUGUGAGUCGGACCGUUCUGUGUGAGCGGGGUAGGGUUUACUCUGUGUGGGCAAACCUUUUGAUGUUCUGUGUGGACGUCAGAAAAGUUCUAUGUGAAAAAUCUGACCAAUCCUGUGUGGAUGAUCCUGAAAGUUCUGUGUGAGUAACUAAGAUUUCUUAAGUUUUAUAUGGAUUCUGUGAAUUAUUUGAAAUUAUGAUAAAUGGUAUGUGUGUAUAAAGUAAUGCUGAAAAUGAUUUCAUACAAUUUAAACCACCCAUUCGUAGACGUACGUAGGUUUUGAGUUGAUAUCUUAAAUGGAUAAUUUGAUAAAGAUGAAGUUUUUAAGCACUAUUAAAAUAAUCUACAAAAUCUGGAAAUUGAGCUCUAGAAACUGAUUAGAGUGUGUCCACUUUUGGUUAUCUUACCCUAACGAUGUAACUGUAGAACGCAUAUUGGAUUAUCUCCGUCUGGGUGAAACAUUUCAAAUUAAACUGCCCUUAAGGUCUGAACAUGUUCUAAUUUUUCCUCCCAGUAUGAGAGAAGUUGUGGGAUUUAUUUUCCAUAAAGUUAAAGAGAAUUCGAGGGAUGCUCGAUGUAAUUUAUAAUGUUGUACAAAGCCUAAGGUUUUCCAUCAAGCUAAUUAUCAUUGCGUGAUUAAAGUGAUGUAGUAAAGUAAUUGAAAUACGUUGCAUAAGUAAACAUAAUCUACUUUUACUGUUUCCUAGUCAUUAGUGUCGAUUUUAUUCUUUGAUUGCUAAUAUAUUCAUUUGGAAUUUGAGAAUCAUAGCUGGAGCAAUGUUUGUACUAUUAAAAUUUGGCUAUUAUUCUUCUGGGAAUUACCGAUAGUGGCGUGUUUUGAUUUUACUUUGUAAAUUGGGUUUAUAUCCGGAGAAUUUUGGUUAUUGGUAAUAGCAUUGGUGGU